CAAUAGCGUAUAUUAAAGCUGUUGCGGUUAAAAAGCUCGUAGUUGGAUUUCUGUCAAGUACAACUGGUCCGCCCUCCGGGUGAGCACAUAGUUUGGUCUUGGCAUCUUGCUGGAAAUUGUUGCUGCACUUGGCUGUGUGGCGCAGUGUCCAGCACUUUCACUUUGAGGAAAUUGGAGUGUUUCAAGCAGGCAAUGCCUUUGAACACAGUAGCAUGGAAUAAUUAGAUUGGGCUUUUGCUCCAAUUUGUCGGUUUCUGGAGCUGAGGUGAGAAUUAAUGGGGAUUGUUGGGGGCAUCCGAAUCUAGCCGUCAGAGGUGAAAUUCUUGGAUCGGCUAAAGACGGACAACUGCGAAAGCGUUUGCCCAGGAUGUUUUCAUUGA
rnacentral:rRNA from 1 species